UACAGGGGGUGCAAACGUUGCUCGGAAUCAUUGGGCGUAAAGCGCACGUAGGCGGUUCGUUAUGUCGGAUGUGAAAGCCCUUGGCUUAACCGAGGAAGUGCAUCCGAAACUGGCGAGCUAGAGUACUAAAGAGGAUCGCGGAAUUCCCGGUGUAGAGGUGAAAUUCGUAGAUAUCGAGAGGAACACCGGUGGCGAAGGCGGCCUUCUGGACAGUGACUGACGCUGAGACGCGAAAGCGUGGGGAGCAAACAGG
rnacentral:rRNA from 1 species